rnacentral:rRNA from 1 species
AUUGAACGCUGGCGGCAGGCCUAACACAUGCAAGUCGAACGGUAACAGGAAGCAGCUUGCUGCUUCGCUGACGAGUGGCGGACGGGUGAGUAAUGUCUGGGAAACUGCCUGAUGGAGGGGGAUAACUACUGGAAACGGUGGCUAAUACCGCAUAACGUCGCAAGACCAAAGAGGGGGACCUUCGGGCCUCUUGCCAUCGGAUGUGCCCAGAUGGGAUUAGCUAGUAGGUGGGGUAACGGCUCGCCUAGGCGACGAUCCCUAGCUGGUCUGAGAGGAGGACCAGCCACACUGGAACUGAGACACGGUCCAGACUCCUACGGGAGGCAGCAGUGGGGAAUAUUGCACAAUGGGCGCAAGCCUGAUGCAGCCAUGCCGCGUGUAUGAAGAAGGCCUUCGGGUUGUAAAGUACUUUCAGCGGGGAGGAAGGCGAUAAGGUUAAUAACCUUGUCGAUUGACGUUACCCGCAGAAGAAGCACCGGCUAACUCCGUGCCAGCCGCCGCGGUAA